rnacentral:pre_miRNA from 1 species
GACCAAACUUGAGGUAGGGUAGAUUGGUAUGGUCAGCUGAUUCUACUAAUCUACUCUACUUCAAGUUCGAAUCC